AACCCGACUACAUGAAGCCGGAAUCGCUAGUAAUCGCGGAUCAGAAUGCCGCGGUGAAUACGUUCCCGGGUCUUGUACACACCGCCCGUCACACCAUGGAAGGUUGGGGGUGCCCAAAGCCGGCAAGCAAAUAUGCUGUCUAAGGCAAAACCAAUGACUGGGGUGAAGUCGUAACAAGGUAGC
rnacentral:rRNA from 1 species